rnacentral:rRNA from 1 species
GGAGUUUGGGCCGUGUCUCAGUCCCAAUGUGGCCGUUCACCCUCUCAGGCCGGCUACUGAUCGUCGCCUUGGUGGGCCGUUACCUCACCAACUAGCUAAUCAGACGCGGGUCCAUCCUGUACCACCGGAGUUUUUCCCCCUUGACCAUGCGGUCAUGUGGGCUUAUGCGGUAUUAGCAGUCGUUUCCGACUGUUAUCCCCCGGUACAGGGCAGGUUACCCACGCGUUACUCACCCGUCCGCCACUAAGCUUUCUCAAGUGCAAGCACUCGAUAGGCUCCGUUCGACUUGCAUGUGUUAAGCACGCCGCCAGCGUUCAUC